UCCGAUCUGGUUCCCGCAUUGUCCCACCUGCAACGUGAUGAUCUCUCGAGGCAUUUUCCCUCACUUUCUCGGAAAAACUAGGGUUUAUCAGGUGAGUGUUAUCAACUGAUCGCUACUUCAAGGUCCAACGCGCCUUUUGUUGCCAAUUCAUUUUUAAUUUUAUUUUGUUGCAGGUUGUAAUUUUGUUGGUCAACUGAAAUUCCUAAAAUAACCUGUACAACUGCCCAAAGUUUUUAUUUACUUUUAUUUAUGGGUAAAUUACAUAGUAACCCUCAUGUUUAAAGUCUAUUACAACCAUACAAUAUCUUUAAAACAUUUUACUUUCAUACCUCACCUCCUAUUUUAUUUCAAAAUAAUACCUCCGUUAGAUUUUCUAUCCAUUGAUCCAGUAAGAACUGACGUGGCUACCACAUUUGUACCAUGUGGCAAAAAAAUAAUUUUUUAUUUUAUUUUUUUUAAAAACCUGAAUCUUCUUAAAAAAAAAUUUUGAAAAAUGCAUAACCUACCCCUCCCCACCUCUCACUUUCAUACUUUCCCCGCAACCCCUCCCCACCCUUCUUCUCCCUUCUGAGCCGAGCCUCCUAACCAUUUCCCUCUUUUCCAACUACCUCCCAUCCACCAAAAUUGCUCAAUCCUAGUCAUCGGGGACGACAUCUACAUCACCAGGGACGACUACACGUCGUCAGGUCUAUGAACCUUGCUGGAAAAAGGCGAAUCGCACUGCUGCCGCGUCGGAGAGAUCUGGAAAGACGAUGUCGGCCUUGUAUUUUGAGAAUUGGCACUGCUAGCGUUGUAUUUUGGGUAUUGGAUUCGACCAAUUUUUGAAAAAAAAGGGUCAAAACAAUCAAAUUGGAAGCUUUGACUACAACGCCAACACCCCCAGAAGCAUCGCCAUCCUCACCAACUUGUGGUGGUCCGAAACCGCGCACACCAUACACGAUAGCCAUCCUCACUGACUCUGGAUGCGUCAACAGUGGUGGUUGUGUCCAUGUAAGGGUUUGAAAUUGGGCGAAAGGCAGCAAAGAGAUAAAGUAAGGAGAGAUGAUGGGUUUUGGGUUGGUUGAGGGAUAGGGUUGGGUUGGCAGCAGAGAGAAGAGAGAGCUUUGCAGCGAAGGAUUUGGAUUGGGAUUUGGAUUUUUUUAUUUUUAUUUUUUUUGUUGAGAUUUGAAUAAAUUGAUUUAGUUGUUGGUUUGGGUCACAAGGAGGGCAUCCUGCGAUUUCCUUAGAUUGGGCACGAUUGCAAGGUUGAGGUCGUGGUAGGAGCGGAUGAAGGCUUGAAGGAGGUCGAUGGAAUUGAGGGGUUGGGAUUCUAGCUAUUCGAGCUGGAGGGCGAAGGCAGAGGAGUUGAGGGGUUGGAGCUGGAGGGAGAAGGCAGAGGAGUUGAGGGGUUGGGAUUCCUGGGAUUGGGAUUCUAGUGGUUAGAGGGACUCUGGGUCGAAGAAUGGGAGGUGAAGAGAGUGGAGGAGAUGGAGGUGGUUGGGAGGUGAAGAAAGGAAGAAGAGGGGUGGGGAGGGUGGGGUGGGUUCUGCGUUUUUCAGUUUUUGUUUUUUUUUAGAAGAUUCAGGUUUUUUUAUUUUUUUUUUAUUUUUCCACAUGGCACACAGGUGGCAGCCACGUCAGCUCUUAACGGAUCAAUGGAUGGAAAAUCUAACGGAGGUAUUAUUUUGAAAUAAAAUAGUAGUUGAGGUAUGAAAGUGAAAUGUUUUAAAGAUGUUGUAUGAGGUUGUAAUAGACAUCAAAUUAUAGGGUUACUAUGUAAUUUACCCUUUAUUUAUAUAUUCAAAUUCGUAAUUGACGAAUUUUGAAAUUUAUGACUUCUAACUUAUAUUAUUGGUUAAAAAUAAUUGUCCUUUCGGCUGAAAGGUUAUUUUUGAAGGAGACUCUAGCUUGGUGCUCGUGGCAAUGAAGGAUCAAGGGGAAGAUUGCUCAUCCUUGGGUCUUGUAAUAAGCGAUGUUAGAUUCUUCCUCAGAAGGAUGGCUUACUCGAGGUUUACCUAUGUGCAGCGGGAGUGUAAUUCUGUAGCUCACUACCUUGCUUAUAUGGGUAUUGGGAGUUCUCAAGAGUUUAUGUGGUUUGAGAAACCUCCAGAUUUACUCCAAGAUGUUUUAGUUGAGGAGGGAAUGUAAUUUCUUUAAGGGUAAAAGACUGUUUACUACCCUAAUGUUUCGUGGUUUUCAACAUUUAGUACAUCAACUUUUUUUCGUCUCAAAGUCAUACCUAAAGUGUUAAUUUUGGGACAGUCUCAUACAUCUGUUAGUCAAACUGUUAAAUCUGCCGUUAACUGAUGACGUGGCGCCCAUGUGGACAAUGACUGGACGCCACGUGUCAUUAAAAGGUCCAUGUGGAAUUUUUUUUUUUUUGAGAAGGGGUUCAAAAAAAAAAAAAAAAAAACAGUGGUUCCUAAAACUGCAGCAACCAUGGCUUUAUCUUCAUCAUCCCAAACCCCUCAUCCUAAACCUAUCUCAAUCUUCAUCUCCAAAAUCCAAAAAAAUCAACAACCCUACAAAAAUCGAGCUAAAAUUUUCAAAACCCAGAUAAAAUCUCAGCCCCAAAUACCCCCUAAACCAUGAAAAAAAAUCAAACAACAAAGAAAUCUGGAAAAUCCAAUAAAAACCCAAAUCCAAGUUUCCGUCGAUCCGCACGCAGAGCCAUGAAGAUCAGAACUUUGAAGCUCCGAGAAGCCCACGAGCAGCGGCGGGUGGCCGUCGUACUGCUCGGUGAUGUGGGACCAGUAGGCCUACCACGUCGUGACGACCUCCUUCUUCGACCCCACAAUCGCCAUCCACAACUCUCUUAUCCUGUCCAGCUAUCCCAAGCUCCUCCGCCACCGCUGCGACAACGUCAUGACUCUCGCUCUCAGCCCCAAUUCCACGUGCCUCACCUCCAGCUCCGUCAACCACUCCGUCAAGCUCUACAAGUUUCCCGGUCAAUAUCUCCCAACCAAGUAAACAGACAACACCCAGAUCUGAAUUUCCAUCCAAAAUCAAAUACAACAAACUAGGGUUUCGUAAUUUGAGAAAUUGGGAUAUGAGAUUUUGGUAUAACAAGGAGAAAAAUAACAAAUUCAUAAUAAAGUUUAAAGCUUUUAAAUAUACAAAUAUGCACAAGAAUGUAAAUGGCAGGUUAAUAGUACAAAGACCCAUAUAUUCAAAUUUUAGAUAGAGAAAAAGAGACUGUGAGAGAGGAGAGAAAAGAGAGGAGAAAAGAGAGAGAAAACUUACUCAGGUGGGUGUAAAACGGCUCUUUAUGGUUUUUCCCUUCUGGCGAGAGAGAGAGAGCGGAGAGAAACCUGAGAGAGAGAGAGAGAGAGAGGAAAGAGGAAAGAGGAGAGGAGAGAAGAGAGAGGAGAGAAGGGAGUGAGCGGUGGAGAUGGAAGUUGGCGCGGGCGAGGGAGCAAGGGGCGUACUGUCGCACCAGUGGGGAAGACAAAGGGGGAAGGAAAAAAGGGGGAAGGAAUCCGGCCCUUUGUCCAGUGAGGAAGACGAAGGGGGAAGGAAAAAAUGGGUUUUUUUAUUUUUUUUUAUUUUAAGUACUUUUAUGUAAUUAAUUUUUUAAUUUUUUUAAUGACAUGUGGCGCCCAGUCAUUGUCCAUAUGGGCGCCACAUCAUCAGUUAACAGCAGACUUAACAAUUUGACUAACGGAUGUAUGAGACUAUCCUAAAAUUAACACUUUAGGUAUGAUACUGAGACGAAAAAAACUUGAUGUACUAAAUGUUGAAAACCACGAAAUAUGAGGGUAGUAAACAAUCUUUUGCCCUUUCUUUAAUGUUCAGCUGAGGAUAGGUUACAUUGUCGUAUGGGACAUUCUUUUUCUCUUCGACAUGGUUGAAAUCCCGAGCAAGGUUUUUAUCAAGGAUUAGUAUGCACACUAUCCUCAAAUUGUACGUAUUCUUUGUUGUUUAAUGAAUAUCAUACCGUUUCUCAAAAAAAAAAACUUAUAUUAUAAGUGAAUAUCAUUUCAAAAAAACUUAUGGUGAAUAUGAAUAUGACUCAACGGUAAAGCUACUUCACCAAAAGAUUUUAUAUGUCAAAAGCGUAUUUGAUUAUUGCCACUUAAUGCUAUGAUCUCUUGGUGUUUUUUUUUUUAAUUGUAAGUGAAAAUUCUGAAAUUCAACUUCAAGAAGGAUGAGUUUCAAUACAAUUAAAAAAGGGUAAAUCUCAGUUUAUUACCCUCAAGUUUUAUGGUUUUCAACAUUUAGUACAUGAAGUUUUUUCCGUCCUAGAGUCAUACCUAAAGUGUUAAUUUUGGGACAGUCUCAUACAUCUGUUAGUCUGGCUGUUAAGUAUCCCGUUAACUGAUGACAUAGCAUCUAUGUGGACAAUGACUGGACGCCGCGUGUCAUUAAAAUAAAAUAAAAUAAAACACCCCUCCAUCCCCUCCACCCCCUCCACGACUCACUCUUCCAUCCCCUCCACCCCUUACCCACCGACACCCUUCUUUAAUACCCACCCCUACCACCAAGCCUUUUCUCCUUCCCUAAAAACCCAUCCCAUUCCCUUCCCCCAAAACUUCGAUAUGGGUUUCGCAAACUGACCCGCCAUUCUUCCCACCUAUGUAAACAACCACACCCAGUUUCACAAUCCAUUUCAAUUCCCACAAUUACACACAAAUUACUGAAAUUUCAAGCAAAAACAAUGGCUCGACGGCGUGGACGACGACGAUUGGCUGAAUGGACUUGAUGGGCAGAGAGGGUUGGUGAGUUCUGAAAGAGGGUAAGAGAGACUAACCUUGAACAAAGCCGGAUUUGGUGGGAAUCAAAGCGCUGUUGCUUGUGAGCGCCAUUUUUGUUAGAUUUUCUGAAGAUUUUUUUUUUCUUUUGGGUGUGAAGGUACAAUGAGAUUGGAGAGAGAAAUCUUAGAGGGUGCCUAAGGAAGGGAAUGAGGAGGAGAUUGUGAAUCUAGGUCCAUUGUUUUUGCUUGAAAUGGUUGUCGGGUGGAGGGGAUGGAGGGGUGGAGGGUGGGGAAGAAGAAAGGGGGUUUUGUUUUUGUUUUUUUUUUUAAUGACACGUGGUGCCUAGUUAUUAUCCACAUAGGCACCACGUCAUCAGUUAACGGAAGACUUAACAGUCAGACUAAUGGAUGUAUGAGACUGUCCCAAAAUUAACAUUUUAGGUAUGACUUUGGGACGAAAAAAACUUCAUAUACUAAAUGUUGAAAACCACGAAACUUGAUAAUAGUAAACUGAGAUUUACCCAUUAAAAAAUAAUCGAAUCCAACUCAUUAAAAAACUGAGCUUCUACAUUAAUAACCAACUUGAUAUUAUCUCUAGUUGACUGAAAAUGGUUCUUCCUCUCUUUGUUUAGUUGGUUAUUAAUGUAGAAGCUUUUCUCCCUUACACACGUGCCAUGUGAUUGGAUGAUGAUAUAGCAACAAAAUAUCAAAGUCAUCUUAACAUUAUUUAUUGACACAUUACUUCCAAAUAUCUACGUCAUACCAACAUUAUCAACAACAUACUAAAAAAAAUUUAUUAAUUUUUUUUAUAUUUUAAUAAACGAUAUUAUUUAUAUUAUAAAAAAUGAGUAAGCUUAAUCUCGUACUAAUAUUUAUUAGAUAUUGAUGUAAUAUGAAAUGAAUGUUGAUGUUGUUAAAUGACGUUGAUAUUCAAUUGCAUUCUUGUCCUAUGUGUCACGUGCGUAGCUCUUCGAGUCAUACGUAGCCACGCGCAAUUCACAAUGCGCAGGGCAGAAAAUCUGAUCAAUUCAGUGAUGUACUGAUCAGCAAUGAGCCCACUUAUUUUGGGCUUUUUAUCAAAAGAUAUACUAAUUGAACUUGGGCCUUCUGGUAGUUUUUUUUUUAAUUUUUUUUGGGAAACUGGGCCUUCCUGUGCGUUCAAGCUCAAGUGAACAUCUUACUUUUUCUUUUUCUGCUUAAUACCACUCAACAAGUUUUGACUUUUUGCAUUUCAUUUGCUUAAGGUUAAGGGAUACAACCAUUAUUUCGAUCCCACUAAUUAACUAAUCAUAUAUGCUUUUAACUCAUUUCGUAGAUUGACAAGUACGAGGUGUUACUGCAUCAUUGUUUGACAACUAAACAAGUAAGUAUUUGAUGCUAACGAUGGUUAAAAAACCCUUAUCUCCAAAUCACGAGAAAUUCUUACAUACAACAGAUCAUAUAUAUAUAUCUUUAUCUUUCUUUCUAUAACAUUCAUCAUGUGAUAAUCAUGUCGAGAAUCACCCCCAAAUCACACGUGACACAACCUCUCAUUACUUGAGUUCAAAACAUGCAUAUCUCAUAGAGGCAAAGGCUAUUCUUUAAUUAGAAUUUAGAUAUGUCAGUAAACAAGUAUAUAAUAUCUGGAGAUAAAACUUAAAAUAUACACUUUAUGAGGUUUGUGGUUUGAAAAGAGUUGAGAUAUUUGUUGAAAUUUUAGUCGCUUACUAAUGGAGAUAGUCUUAUAUAGUUUCGUCAUCUGUGAUAAACUAAUUUGCUUAUCUGCGGUUCUGCAGAAUGCUUAAUUUUGGGAUGAUAUAGUAACUUAACAACACUCUGAGCAAAAGAACACAAACUUUUUAGAUCAAUUUUGUAAAGAGUCGUGAAAUAUAUCUGUGGCACGCUUGUGUUGGUUAUUCUUAUCAUUUGUUCGGAAACAAAUUGUCCAAAUUCAAACAAACCGAACUUAUACGCGUCGAUACUUUUCCCAAUUUAACCACCUGGCAAGUUACCAAAAGGUCUUGACAGUAGGGUUUCCUUCAACAUGACUCUAAUUUAAGCCACUUUUUUGCAUAAGUCCUUAUAUUUAAAAGAGCCAGAAAUCACUUUCUUUUGUUUUUUCUUUCUUUAACACAUAGUGUUUAGUUACCUCCAGAAAUUGGAACCUAAUGUUGAAAAAGUCUCUAGUACUGCUGUAAAUUGAUACCGCUGCAAAUUGAAGAUUCAAUUAAACAUGAUAAUCUACAUAUCAUAGCUCAAACAAAAAUACCCAGAUCAAGGAAUCAAGCAAAUAAACAUCACGCAGAUUAACUAGAUUAAUUAUUAAAGUACAACAACACCCUCACCUUUACAUGCAGCACAUAACUAAAAGCAAUAGGGACCAACAUAAUUAACAAAAUUAAAAACACCUAAAACAAAGCAUAAUUAGCAUUAUUGAUUUCCCAUACUACUGUUACGAUAAAACGUACAUAUAUAUCUAGUUAGGCCACAGGAACGCUCCUAUGGAAAACUGCCUCUUGUGUUGAACAUCCCCAGUGAUCGGCAGACCAUACUCUCGAAGCAAGCAGUCAAGCUUCCACUCCGGCAUGGUCUCAUAGUCGGACUUAGUGUACCGCGGAUAGUGCAGAGGCAUCUGAAAGUAUCCGCAGCGCUCUCCCUUGUGUUGUCCGUUGGCUGCACCACCCGUGGUUGAUCGCGCCCUAGCCACCGAUUCCAGGCCUCCUCCACUCAUAGCUAGGGUUAGCUUGCUUGUGCCUGUGUGUUUCGUGGUUAGUUAGGGUUGUGGGACUUGAGGAGGAGGUGGCUAUUUAUAGAGAUUCUGAUGUGAAAACCAGAGAAAGGAAUAAUAUUGUUUGCUGUAUAUGUACGAAGCACAGCACUGUCGAGGCUGUGAAAUAUGUAGUACAAUUUUAUGGAGAAAACAAAGUUGCAAUACAAAUGUUGGACAGUUAAAACCAAAAUUGGGAAGGAAUAGUGGGAGAGGUGUCACCCCUCACAAGAUAUUUUUUUGUUUUUGGAAACUCACAAGAUUUUUUUUUUCUUUUUUUUUUGGAAACUCCCCUCACAAGAUAUUUGGUAAUUGUUUUAUUUUGGGAAAAAGACAUAAGAUAUAGACAAGUGCCAUAAGGAAAAGGAAACAUCGAGGAAUUUUUCUUUCGGAUAACAUUCUUUGACAGGGUAAGAAAUUAUUUUCCACUUAAUCGCUUUUGUAUUCUCCAAGAAAACUUCAAAUGCAUUACGUUUUCUAGAAUGUUUAUUUUUUGAGAAAAUUUGAAAUAUGUCCAAUUUUAUAGG
rnacentral:lncRNA from 1 species